GCGUGGAGGAUGAAUGCCGUAAGGUUGUAAACUCCUUUUUUUGGGGACGAAAAAGUAGGUUUGUAGCCUAUAUUGACUGUACCCACAGAAUAAGCCCCGGCUAACUACGUGCCAGCAGCCGCGGUAAUACGUAGGGGGCAAGCGUUGUCCGGAUUUACUGGGUGUAAAGGGCGCGUAGGCGGGCUUGUUAGUCAGAGGUGAAAUCCUGCGGCUUAACCGUAGAAUUGCCUUUGAUACUGCAAGCCUUGAGUUCGGAAGAGAGAGAUGGAAUUCCAGGUGUAGUGGUGAAAUACGU
rnacentral:rRNA from 1 species